UACGUAGGGGGCAAGCGUUGUCCGGAAUUACUGGGCGUAAAGGGCGCGUAGGCGGCCAUAUAAGUCAGAUGUGAAAGUCCAGGGCUCAACCGUGGAAUUGCAUUUGAAACUGUAUGGCUUGAGUGCAGGAGAGGAGAGCGGAAUUCCUAGUGUAGCGGUGAAAUGCGUAGAUAUUAGGAAGAACACCAGUGGCGAAGGCGGCUCUCUGGACUGUAACUGACGCUGAGGCGCGAAAGCGUGGGUAGCGAACAGGAUUAGAUACCCUGGUAGUCCACGCCGUAAACGAUGAGUGCUAGGUGUUGGGGGUCGAACCUCAGUGCCGCAGCAAACGCAUUAAGCACUCCGCCUGGGGAGUACGACCGCAAGGUUGAA
rnacentral:rRNA from 1 species